UACGUAGGGUGCAAGCGUUAAUCGGAAUUACUGGGCGUAAAGCGUGCGCAGGCGGUUGUGCAAGACAGAUGUGAAAUCCCCGGGCUUAACCUGGGAACUGCAUUUGUGACUGCACGGCUAGAGUGUGUCAGAGGGGGUGGAAUUCCGCGUGUGAGCAGUGAAAUGCGUAGAGAUGCGGAGGAACACCGAUGGCGAAGGCAGCCCCCCUGGGCUGACACUGACGCUCAGGCACGAAAGCGUGGGGAGCAAACAGG
rnacentral:rRNA from 1 species